rnacentral:rRNA from 1 species
GACGAACGCUGGCGGCGUGCUUAACACAUGCAAGUCGAACGGUAAGGCCCUUCGGGGUACACGAGUGGCGAACGGGUGAGUAACACGUGGGUGAUCUGCCCUGCACUUCGGGAUAAGCCUGGGAAACUGGGUCUAAUACCGGAUAGGACCACUGCCUGCAUGGGUGGUGGUGGAAGGCUUUUGCGGUGUGGGAUGGGCCCGCGGCCUAUCAGCUUGUUGGUGGGGUGAUGGCCUACCUAGGCGACGACGGGUAGCCGGCCUGAGAGGGUGACCGGCCACACUGGGACUGAGAUACGGCCCAGACUCCUACGGGAGGCAGCAGCGGGGAAUAUUGCACAAUGGGCGCAAGCCUGAUGCAGCGACGCCGCGUGAGGGAUGACGGCCUUCGGGUUGUAAACCUCUUUCAGCACCGACGAAGCGCAAGUGACGGUAGGUGCAGAAGAAGGACCGGCCGACUACGUGCCAGCCGCCGCGGUAA